UACGGAGGGGGCUAGCGUUGUUCGGAAUUACUGGGCGUAAAGCGCACGUAGGCGGCUUGGUAAGUUAGAGGUGAAAGCCUGGAGCUCAACUCCAGAAUUGCCUUUAAGACUGCCGAGCUAGCAGGUGAGAGAGGUGAGUGGAAUUCCGAGUGUAGAGGUGAAAUUCGUAGAUAUUCGGAAGAACACCAGUGGCGAAGGCGGCUCACUGGCUCAUGACUGACGCUGAGGCUCGAAAGCGUGGGGAGCAAACAGG
rnacentral:rRNA from 1 species